rnacentral:rRNA from 1 species
UACAGGGGGUGCAACCGUUGCUCGGAAUUAUUGGGCGUAAAGCGCGCGUAGGCGGCUACUUAAGUCGGAUGUGAAAGCCCUUGGCUCAACUGAGGAAGUGCACCCGAAACUGAGUGGCUAGAGUACGAAAGAGGGUCGCGGAAUUCCCGGUGUAGAGGUGAAAUUCGUAGAUAUUGGGAAGAACACCGAUGGCGAAGGCAGCCAUCUGGACCGACACUGACGCUGAGGCGCGAAAGCGUGGGGAGCAAACAGG